CGCUGGCGGCGUGCUUAACACAUGCAAGUCGAACGGUAAGGCCCUUCGGGGUACACGAGUGGCGAACGGGUGAGUAACACGUGGGUGAUCUGCCCUGCACUUUGGGAUAAGCCUGGGAAACUGGGUCUAAUACCGAAUAGGACCAUGGACUUCACGGUUUGUGGUGGAAAGCUUUUGCGGUGUGGGAUGGGCCCGCGGCCUAUCAGCUUGUUGGUGGGGUAAUGGCCUACCAAGGCGACGACGGGUAGCCGGCCUGAGAGGGUGACCGGCCACACUGGGACUGAGAUACGGCCCAGACUCCUACGAGAGGCAGCAGUGGGGAAUAUUGCACAAUGGGCGCAAGCCUGAUGCAGCGACGCCGCGUGAGGGAUGACGGCCUUCGGGUUGUAAACCUCUUUCAGCACAGACGAAGCGCAAGUGACGGUAUGUGCAGAAGAAGGACCGGCCAACUACGUG
rnacentral:rRNA from 1 species